GUCUGGGCUGCCUCUCAGCGUCACUAAGAAAUCAUGGAGCCGGAGGGCAGGGGGCUGGAGAGGUGGAGGCUCUCCCACCGGUCCCUCCCCCAUUCUCCCAGGCUCAAAGGAAGAAGAAAUGUUGGCCAGGAAUGCAGAGAACCGUGAGCGGCUGAGGGACCCCUGGGGAGCCUGGUCCAGAACAGAGAGCAAUGACUUCAGGAGGGAGAGACCAGGGUCCAGGGACUGAGGCCCAGUAGGGACCGGAGUCACUGUAAGAAAAGAAACCAGAGAUCACUGAAGGGGAAAAGCCUGGAACCCAAAUUCAGCCCUGCCCUGGAGCCCAGUCCCUGCCUGGAUAUAAAGAUGAGGACAGCAGCAGCAGCAGGGGCCAGAGGCUCAGAGCCAUGUUUCCAGAUGAGGAAAUGGAGGCCCAAAGAAAUAGAAUACCUUGGCCCACGCAAUCAAAGGAGGUGAGGGCAGUGCUGGGAUUUUCCAAGGUGUGAGGUGGAAAUUCAGAGGCUGAGGUGCCAAAACAGCAAACACCCUUCUUCUCCCCAGUUAUAUAUGCUACUCCAAUGGACUUAACUCCUGGUCUCCAUGGCUGCCCUAAAUCCAUACCUGCAAACUCUUGCAACCGCUUACGCUCCUCUAGGUUGUACUGAAGCUUUUCUAGCAACUCAAAAUAUCGGAAGAGUGAAUCCCUAGGCCAAACAACACGUUCACCCUGAUCCAUAUCCAUUAGCCCAGGCAGAUUCUGGUGCACACGAGUCUCCCAGUCCAACUGACCUGGAGGGAGAAAUGCUUCUCAAAAACAUAUCUAGAUUCGUGGAAGUUGGAUAAAAGCUGAUCAACUCUAUGGGGGCAGGUGAGGAGAAAGCAGGGAUGAAAGAGGAUAUAGGAAGGAGAGAGAGAAAAGUAUGUAUCACCAAGACACCACUUUUACAAUAAACAAAGAGAGCCACAACCAUACUUUUCCAAAGUGCAGCAGAAGCACAGGGGAAAUGAAGAAGCGUGAAGAAAGUAAAAAAGGCUGGAAAAUCGGACUGGUGGAGAAAAUUGGGAAAUUUGCAUAGUGGGAGAGUUCCUAUUAAGACUGGGAUGUCUCAUGGAGAAGAGGAGUCUGAAUUCAACUGGGAGAAACCCUUGGCUUACCAACAGGGUCAUAAUAUCUGGAGUCAGAAGAAGAGGAACAGUAGGAAGAUGAAUAUGAGGAGGAAGAGGAAAAUGCAGACUUCUUCAUUUUUGACAAGGACUUCUUUGGUUUUGACUUAGAUGCUCUUGAACUCUCUUUAGUGGUACUGUGUUUGGACUCUUCUUUAGAAGCUACAGUUAAGUCCAAAGAUUCCCCUUGUUGAUUGGCAUCUCUGUAAGUGAAAGGCAAAAUUUUAUUGCUUCAAAUACAUUUACACGAUAUGGCUAGUUCUUUCAUUAUUCUAAUUCUGGCCCUGGCCUAAAGCUAGGACUUAAGGCAAUGAAGGCCAAACUGCUCCCAAAACCUAAGUUUAAGCACAUCCAACCUAAAUUAUCCCAUGUCAUGUAUCCCUAUUAGUGCCCCUCACCACAUAACGUCUGUGCUCAGUCUUACUCGGGCUUCCACGUUCCACACCCCACCUUAUUUUGCAAAGU